rnacentral:lncRNA from 1 species
CUUGUCCCUACUGUCUAAAGGUACAAAUAUAUUUUGGUUGAAGCUGACUAUGCAACUCACUGAACUGUUCUUGUCCUGUUUCACUUCCAGGUUUCCUGGCUCAGAAAACACAUCCUGGAUUGUGUCUAUAUGGGGAUUGUAAAGUAGCAUCAUGUUCAUUGCAAAGGUCCUGCGCCAGCUGACAUAGACAUAGACAUCCCACAUGGGCUUGCAAUAUUAAUAUCAGUUGAGUAGGAAGCCCAUGAAAUUCCAGCAUGAUCUUCUUCUCAAGCACCAAGGUUUUCGUACCAAUGUUGAUUAUGAUGCAUAUGGAUUGAAACCAUUUCAGAAGUCACAGAACAAAAAUAUCCAUUGCAGGGGGGGGUUUUGGUCUUGGGGUGAGGUGUUGUUUGUAUAUACAUUUUCUUGUUAUUUGGGGUUUGUGGUUUCUUUUAUAUAAAACACUUCCUUACAAUUUGUAAUGUAUUACAUCAGGGGGUUUUGUAUAGUUUCCAGACUCUGUCACACUGAUUUCUCUUCCAGUGGGAAACUAAGACUCCCAGCAUUUGCUAUUUUUUGGUAGCCAGGUGUCACUGUUGUGAGAAGAUCUUCCUCCAGAAUUCUGAAGGAACUAGCCCAUGAAGCUGGAGGUUUGUUAACAGGUACAGCUACAUGUCUCUCUAGUCAAAGCUGGUACCAUAUGAUAUAAAAUAGUAAGUGUCCUCCUUAUAUUUAAAAAGGGACAGAAUUGAAGCGGAUAAUUACAGGCCAAUAAGUCUGAUAACAAUUGGAAGCAAGGCUCUUUUGAACAGAUUUUGAAGGAAAGGUCAAUUUAAGAUGUGGAAGUGAAGGGGGAAAUGGGGUAAUGUAGAGUAUGGGUGUGCCAAAUACAGACUGUACCAGACUAAUCUGCUAGCUCUUUUUGAUAAGGAAACUGACUUUCUAAACAAAGUACGUGAGGUAGAUGUCACAUAUCUGCACUUCAGUAAAGCAUUUGGUAGUAUAUCAAAUGGGAAUUUGUGAUUAAGCUGGAAGAUGAUGAUUUGCAAAGGAAGUAUAAAGUGACU